rnacentral:siRNA from 1 species
GGGAAACGAGGUGGUCAUGGCU